rnacentral:tRNA from 2 species
GCGGGAGUGGUGAAACCGGUAGACACGCAGGAUUUAGGUUCCUGUGCCUCUGGGCGUGUGGGUUCGAGUCCCACCUUCCGCA